rnacentral:rRNA from 1 species
GAUGAACGCUGGCGGCGUGCCUAAUACAUGCAAGUCGAGCGAACAGACGAGGAGCUUGCUCCUCUGACGUUAGCGGCGGACGGGUGAGUAACACGUGGAUAACCUACCUAUAAGACUGGGAUAACUUCGGGAAACCGGAGCUAAUACCGGAAAAUAUAAUGAACCGCAUGGUUCAAUAGUGAAAGACGGUUUUGCUGUCACUUAUAGAUGGAUCCGCGCCGCAUUAGCUAGUUGGUAAGGUAACGGCUUACCAAGGCAACGAUGCGUAGCCGACCUGAGAGGGGGAUCGGCCACACUGGAACUGAGACACGGUCCAGACUCCUACGGGAGGCAGCAGUAGGGAAUCUUCCGCAAUGGGCGAAAGCCUGACGGAGCAACGCCGCGUGAGUGAUGAAGGUCUUCGGAUCGUAAAACUCUGUUAUUAGGGAAGAACAGAUGUGUAAGUAACUGUGCACGUCUUGACGGUACCUAAUCAGAAAGCCACGGCUAACUACGUG